rnacentral:rRNA from 1 species
AGUGAACGCUGGCGGUAGGCCUAACACAUGCAAGUCGAACGGCAGCACAGUAAGAGCUUGCUCUUACGGGUGGCGAGUGGCGGACGGGUGAGGAAUACAUCGGAAUCUACUUUUUCGUGGGGGAUAACGUAGGGAAACUUACGCUAAUACCGCAUACGACCUACGGGUGAAAGCAGGGGAUCUUCGGACCUUGCGCGAUUGAAUGAGCCGAUGUCGGAUUAGCUAGUUGGCGGGGUAAAGGCCCACCAAGGCGACGAUCCGUAGCUGGUCUGAGAGGAUGAUCGGCCACACUGGAACUGAGACACGGUCCAGACUCCUACGGGAGGCAGCAGUGGGGAAUAUUGGACAAUGGGCGCAAGCCUGAUCCAGCCAUGCCGCGUGGGUGAAGAAGGCCUUCGGGUUGUAAAGCCCUUUUGUUGGGAAAGAAAAGCAGUAGGUUAAUACCCCGCUGUUCUGACGGUACCCAAUGAAUAAGCACCGGCUAACUUCGUG